rnacentral:rRNA from 1 species
AUUGAACGCUGGCGGCAGGCCUAACACAUGCAAGUCGAACGGUAGCACAGAGAGCUUGCUCUCGGGUGACGAGUGGCGGACGGGUGAGUAACGUCUGGGAAACUGCCCGAUGGAGGGGGAUAACUACUGGAAACGGUAGCUAAUACCGCAUAACGUCGCAAGACCAAAGUGGGGGACCUUCGGGCCUCACACCAUCGGAUGUGCCCAGCAGGGAUUAGCUAGGAGGUGGGGUAAUGGCUCACCUAGGCGACGAUCCCUAGCUGGGCUGAGAGGAUGACCAGCCACACUGGAACUGAAACACGAGCCAGACUCCUCCGGGAGGCAGCAGUGGGGAAUAUUGCACGAUGGGCGCAAGCCUGAUGCAGCCAUGCCGCGUGUAUGAAGAAGGCCUUCGGGUUGUAAAGUACUUUCAGCGGGGAGGAAGGCGGUGAAGUUAAUAGCUUAACCGAUUGACGUUACCCGCAGAAGAAGCACCGGCUAACUCCGUGCCAGCAGCCGCCGUAA